UACGUAGGGUGCGAGCGUUAAUCGGAAUUACUGGGCGUAAAGAGUGCGUAGGCGGUUCUUGAAGUCCGCUGUGAAAGCCCCGGGCUUAACCUGGGAAUGGCAGUGGAAACUGGAGGACUCGAAUUGAGCAGAGGGGGGUGGAAUGCCGCGUGUAGCAGUGAAAUGCGUAGAGAUGCGGCGGAACACCGAUGGCGAAGGCAGCCCCCUGGGCUUAAAUUGACGCUGAGGCACGAAAGCGUGGGGAGCAAACAGG
rnacentral:rRNA from 1 species